rnacentral:rRNA from 1 species
ACGGAAGGCAGCAGUGGGGAAUAUUGGACAAUGGGGGAAACCCUGAUCCAGCGACGCCGCGUGAGUGAAGAAGUAUUUCGGUAUGUAAAGCUCUAUCAGCAAGGAAGAAAAUGACGGUACUUGACUAAGAAGCUCCGGCUAAAUACGUGCCAGCAGCCGCGGUAAUACGUAUGGAGCAAGCGUUAUCCGGAUUUACUGGGUGUAAGGGGAGCGUAGACGGCGAAGCAAGUCUGAAGUGAAAUGCCGGGGCUUAACCCCGGAACUGCUUUGGAAACUGUUUUGCUAGAGUGCAGGAGAGGUAAGCGGAAUUCCUAGUGUAGCGGUGAAAUGCGUAGAUAUUAGGAGGAACACCAGUGGCGAAGGCGGCUUACUGGACUGUAACUGACGUUGAGGCUCGAAAGCGUGGGGAGCAAACAGGAUUAGAUACCCUGGUA